AAGCACCUCAGUGAGCUGGUGAUGGUAUGAUGGAUGGUGGAUGUUCAGGGUCAGCAGAUGUCCCUCGCCCUCCUCCUCACUCUCCAAGCCCAAGGCAGGCUGGAGAGGGUGGUGACCUGAGGAAUUACCCUGCCCAGCCAGCAGGCAGGGUGAUGACUCUAGGGCGAUCGACUGGCUAUGAAAA